rnacentral:rRNA from 1 species
UACGAAGGGGGCAAGCGUUGUUCGGAAUUACUGGGCGUAAAGGGCGCGUAGGCGGUGCGUUAAGUUAGGCGUGAAAGCCCUGGGCUCAACCCGGGAACUGCGCUUGAUACUGGCGCGCUUGAAUCCAGGAGAGGUUGGUGGAAUUCCCAGUGUAGAGGUGAAAUUCGUAGAGAUUGGGAAGAACACCGGGUGGCGAAGGCGGCCAACUGGACUGGUAUUGACGCUGAGGCGCGAAAGCGUGGGGAGCAAACAGG